GACGAACGCUGGCGGCGUGCUUAACACAUGCAAGUCGAACGGAAAGGCCCGGCUUUUGUGGGGUGCUCGAGUGGCGAACGCGUGAGUAACACGUGAGUAACCUGCCCUUGACAUUGGGAUAACAUCAGGAAACUGGGGCUAAUACCGGGUAUGAGCUACUGCUGCAUGGGGGGGGUUGGAAAGAUUCGGCGGUUGGGGAUGGACUCGCGGGUUAUCAGCUAGUUUGUGUGGUAGUGGUUUACAAAGGCUUUGACGGGUAGCCGGCCUGAGAGGGUUAACGGCCACAAGAGGCCUACGAUACGCACCAGACUCCUAUGGGAGGCAGUAGUGGGGAAUAUUGCACAAUGGCGGGACGUCUGAUGUGGCAAUGUUGCGUGCGGAAUGCUGGCCUUUGGGUUGUAAACAGCUUUGGCAUGUGACGAAGCCUGCGUGACGGUAACUGGUAAAGAAGCACCGGCUAACUACGUG
rnacentral:rRNA from 1 species